ACUCCUACGGGAGGCAGCAGUAGGGAAUCUUCCACAAUGGGCGCAAGCCUGAUGGAGCAACACCGCGUGAGUGAAGAAGGGUUUCGGCUCGUAAAGCUCUGUUGUUAAAGAAGAACACGUAUGAGAGUAACUGUUCAUACGUUGACGGUAUUUAACCAGAAAGUCACGGCUAACUACGUGCCAGCAGCCGCGGUAAUACGUAGGUGGCAAGCGUUAUCCGGAUUUAUUGGGCGUAAAGAGAGUGCAGGCGGUUUUCUAAGUCUGAUGUGAAAGCCUUCGGCUUAACCGGAGAAGUGCAUCGGAAACUGGAUAACUUGAGUGCAGAAGAGGGUAGUGGAACUCCAUGUGUAGCGGUGGAAUGCGUAGAUAUAUGGAAGAACACCAGUGGCGAAGGCGGCUACCUGGUCUGCAACUGACGCUGAGACUCGAAAGCAUGGGUAGCGAACAGGAUUAGAUACCCUGGUAGGAUACG
rnacentral:rRNA from 1 species